GAUGGAUAGAUAACUGGCACAGAGCUUCUCCAAACCGGUCUGCAGUGCUCACUACCUAUCAAAAGUGGUUCAACGAAGGAAAAGCAGUGGACGGCAAAGACUCACUGAUGCAAGUGGGAGCAAAGGCUGGCGAGUCCGAUCCAACAGACGAGCUACUUGUAUAAGGUGGCCCUUGGACACCGUUGGAUCUGAGUGAUAUGAAAUCCUGUUUAAUCAAUAAUCCAAUGACAAGUUGUCAUUCAUCAGUUUUACACCUGGUCAAGCAAAGAUUUUCUGAGUCGAGUUGCAGCAGUUUCGGAGGAUUUCUGAUUUGCACCAUCAUUUCCAGUUCAAACUCUGUUUGUUCUGGAAAUAACUCAACUGAAUCUCAUCCAUCAAACUUCAGUCCAGAAACAGAAACUCACCUCCUGAAACGGGUUCUUGUUCCUGGGAAUGGAGCUGAAGACGAAGAAGAGAAGGGAAGAUGAAGAUGACAUUCCCAAGCUUUCUACCAGUCAACAACAGUCAAUGUCUUACAGCCUGAACACUUCAGGUACAUGAACUGAGCACAAGUGAUUAGUAGGGAUGCACCGAAUGUUCGGCAACCUAAAUUAAAAAAGCACUUUCAGUGUUUGAUCUAAUAAGUGAAAAGACUGAAGACAUUUUACUGAACAAUUAUGUUGACAUGUCGGCAGUGUGGAAGGAUUUUAAAGAGACACAGAUAGAUUAAAAUAUCGCCGUUUCCAGACGCUGUUCUGCUGAAUUCCACUCCAACUGUGGCUGUCACUCGUUUGUGAGAAGGCGAUUAAGCUAGCCGCACUUAAAUUUGGAGUGCACACGUAUUUAAGCCUUUAUGGUAACUGAAACGGACCAGAGCGAGCUGACAGGCAGGUUAGGUCUCUUUACAAAGUCUGACAGUAUAAGAGUCCUACCUGAAGAGAGACUAUGAAGUCUUCAUGUUACGCCGUACGAGAACCACAUGCAACAUUAUUUAUCAAACU